AUUGAACGCUGGCGGCAUGCCUUACACAUGCAAGUCGAACGGCAGCACGGGGCAACCUGGUGGCGAGUGGCGAACGGGUGAGUAAUGCAUCGGAACGUACCUUUCAGUGGGGGAUAACGUAGCGAAAGUUACGCUAAUACCGCAUAUUCUGUGAGCAGGAAAGCAGGGGAUCGCAAGACCUUGCGCUGAUUGAUCGGCCCAUGUCAGAUUAGCUUGUUGGUGGGGUAAAGGCUCACCAAGGCGACGAUCUGUAGCGGGUCUGAGAGGAUGAUCCGCCACACUGGAACUGAGACACGGUCCAGACUCCUACGGGAGGCAGCAGUGGGGAAUUUUGGACAAUGGGGGCAACCCUGAUCCAGCCAUGCCGCGUGAGUGAAGAAGGCCUUCGGGUUGUAAAGCUCUUUCGGCCGGGAAGAAAUCGCGCGGGCUAAUACCCUGUGUGGAUGACGGUACCGGAAUAAGAAGCACCGGCUAACUACGUGCCAGCAGCCGCGGUAAUAC
rnacentral:rRNA from 1 species